rnacentral:rRNA from 1 species
GACGAACGCUGGCGGCGUGCUUAACACAUGCAAGUCGAACGGAAAGGCCUCUUUCGGGGGGUACUCGAGUGGCGAACGGGUGAGUAACACGUGAGUAACCUGCCCUUGACUUUGGGAUAACUUCAGGAAACUGGGGCUAAUACCGGAUAGGAGCUCCUGCUGCAUGGUGGGGGUUGGAAAGUUUCGGCGGUUGGGGAUGGACUCGCGGCUUAUCAGCUUGUUGGUGGGGUAGUGGCUUACCAAGGCUUUGACGGGUAGCCGGCCUGAGAGGGUGACCGGCACAUUGGGACUGGGAUACGGCCCAGACUCCUACGGGAGGCAGCAGUGGGGAAUAUUGCACAAUGGGUGGAAGCCUGAUGCAGCAACGCCGUGUGCGGGAUGACGGCCUUCGGGUUGUAAACCGCUUUCGCUCAUGACGAAGCUUUGUGUGACGGUAGUGGGUAAAGAAGCACCGGCUAACUACGUG